rnacentral:rRNA from 1 species
UACGUAGGGGGCAAGCGUUGUCCGGAUUUAUUGGGCGUAAAGAGCGUGUAGGCGGCUGGGUAGGUCCGUUGUGAAAACUCGAGGCUCAACCUCGAGACGCCGAUGGAAACCAUCCAGCUAGAGUCCGGAAGAGGAGAGUGGAAUUCCUGGUGUAGCGGUGAAAUGCGCAGAUAUCAGGAAGAACACCCGUGGCUAAGGCGGCUCUCUAGUACGGUACUGACGCUGAGACGCGAAAGCGUGGGGAGCAAACAGG